rnacentral:rRNA from 1 species
CCUACGGGUGGCAGCAGUGGGGAAUAUUGCACAAUGGGGGAAACCCUGAUGCAGCGACGCCGCGUGAGUGAAGAAGUAAUUCGUUACGUAAAGCUCUAUCAGCAGGGAAGAAACACUGACCGUACGGUCAGCAGACGGUACCUGAGUAAGAAGCCCCGGCUAACUACGUGCCAGCAGCCGCGGUAAGACGUAGGGGGCAAGCGUUAUCCGGAUUUACUGGGUGUAAAGGGAGCGUAGACGGUGCGCCAAGUCUGGAGUGAAAUGCCGCAGCUUAACGGCGGAACUGCUUUGGAAACUGGCGAACUAGAGUGCGGGAGGGGUAAGCGGAAUUCCUAGUGUAGCGGUGAAAUGCGUAGAUAUUAGGAGGAACCCCGGUGGCGAAGGCGGCUUACUGGACCGUAACUGACGUUGAGGCUCGAAAGCGUGGGUAGCAAACAGGAUUAGAUACCCCAGUAGUC